rnacentral:rRNA from 1 species
GCCCUACCACCCUGAAUGUGAGUGAUAUCCUUUUAUCUCAGAAACUAAACUGGCUUGGGUCUGGUUAGUACUAGGAUGGGAGACAGCUUGGGAAUGUCAGGUGC